AUUUACAAAAAAAUUAUAUAAAGUUUCCUGAAAAAAAGUGAGCGCGUGCGGAGUGAUGGGAGAUUGAAAUGAAAGCGAAGAGGCUCUGCCACAUAAUGCAAAAUAGUAUGGUUUUUGAACCAAACUUUUGUUUGACCUUUUUUAAACUUGAAAUGGACGGAAAUGAGGAAGAAAUUGAAAUAAAUCUUCAUAAUCUGAGUAUCGAAGUUUAGUACAGUCAUGAAAUGAGAAAUGUUGCAAUUUAGAGGAUAUUUAUAAUUAGAUAGCUCAUAACCAUUUUUAGUAUUUUUGCACAAGUGAACAUAACAAAUCCUACAACCUGAUUGGUCAAACUUGACGCAUUAAGCUGUUAUAUUCACCUACAGGUGAAUAUAACAAAACUGAAAUUUUCAAAAUG